rnacentral:rRNA from 1 species
UGCAAGUCGAGGGGCAGCACGAGUACUUGUACUUGGUGGCGACCGGCGCACGGGUGCGUAACGCGUAUGCAACCUACCUUAUACAGAGGGAUAGCCCAGAGAAAUUUGGAUUAAUACCUCAUAGUAUCAUUUGAAGGCAUCUGAGAAUGAUUAAAGAUUUAUCGGUAUAAGAUGGGCAUGCGUAAGAUUAGUUAGUUGGUGAGGUAACGGCUCACCAAGACUUCGAUCUUUAGGGGUUCUGAGAGGAUGAUCCCCCACACUGGUACUGAGAUACGGACCAGACUUCUACGGGAGGCAGCAGUAGGGAAUAUUGGUCAAUGGGCGAGAGCCUGAACCAGCCAUGCCGCGUGCAGGAAGACGGCCUUCUGGGUUGUAAACUGCUUUUAUAUGGGAAGAAAACGGCCUUGCGAGGCAGAUUGACGGUACCAUAUGAAUAAGCACCGGCUAACUCCGUGCCAGCAGCCGCGGUAAUACGGAGGGUGCAAGCGUUGUCCGGAUUUAUUGGGUUUAAAGGGUACGUAGGCGGCCAAUUAAGUCAGUGGUGAAAGCCAGCAGCUCAACUGUUGAACUGCCAUUGAUACUGAUUGGCUCGAGUUCUGUUAAGGUAGGCGGAAUUGAUGGUGUAGCGGUGAAAUGCAUAGAUACCAUCAGGAACACCGAUUGCGAAGGCAGCUUACUAGGCAGAAACUGACGCUAAUGUACGAAAGCGUGGGGAUCGAACAGGAUUAGAUACCCUGGUAGUCCACGCCGUAAACGAUGCUCACUCGCUGUUGGCGAUACACAGUCAGCGGCCAAGCGAAAGCGUUAAGUGAGCCACCUGGGGAGUACGCUCGCAAGAGUGAA